UGGGGAAUAUUGCACAAUGGGGGAAACCCUGAUGCAGCGACGCCGCGUGGAGGAAGAAGGUCUUCGGAUUGUAAACUCCUGUUGUUGAGGAAGAUAAUGACGGUACUCGACAAGGAAGUGACGGCUAACUACGUGCCAGCAGCCGCGGUAAAACGUAGGUCACAAGCGUUGUCCGGAAUUACUGGGUGUAAAGGGAGCGCAGGCGGGAAGACAAGUUGGAAGUGAAAUCUAUGGGCUCAACCCAUAAACUGCUUUCAAAACUGUUUUUCUUGAGUAGUGCAGAGGUAGGCGGAAUUCCCGGUGUAGCGGUGGAAUGCGUAGAUAUCGGGAGGAACACCAGUGGCGAAGGCGGCCUACUGGGCACCAACUGACGCUGAGGCUCGAAAGUGUGGGUAGCAAACAGGAUUAGAUACCCUGGUAGUCCACACCGUAAACGAUGAUUACUAGGUGUUGGAGGAUUGACCCCUUCAGUGCCGCAGUUAACACAAUAAGUAAUCCACCUGGGGAGUACGACCACAAGGUUGAAACUCAAAGGAAUUGACGGGGGCCCGCACAAGCAGUGGAGUAUGUGGUUUAAUUCGACGCAACGCGAAGAACCUUACCAAGUCUUGACAUCCCUUGACGAACAUAGAAAUAUGUUUUCUCUUCGGAGCAAGGAGACAGGUGGUGCAUGGUUGUCGUCAGCUCGUGUCGUGAGAUGUUGGGUUAAGUCCCGCAACGAGCGCAACCCUUACUGUCAGUUACUACGCAAGAGGACUCUGGCAGGACUGCCGUUGACAAAACGGAGGAAGGUGGGGAUGACGUCAAAUCAUCAUGCCCUUUAUGACUUGGGCUACACACGUACUACAAUGGCGUUAAACAAAGAGAAGCAAGACCGCGAGGUGGAGCAAAACUCAGAAACAACGUCCCAGUUCGGACUGCAGGCUGCAACUCGCCUGCACGAAGUCGGAAUUGCUAGUAAUCGUGGAUCAGCAUGCCACGGUGAAUACGUUCCC
rnacentral:rRNA from 1 species